AAGGUUCUGCAGUGUACGUGAUAGAAGCAAAAUAUUUUUAAAACCUACAAGCGUCUAACAGGGAGCUUUUUUUGGCUGGCCUUUUUCUUUACUUAAUGUGGAGAAUGGUUAACAAAGGGUGCCCACCUUGAAAAAGGGUUGACGAAAAAAUUCUUCACACGGCAUUAGCGGAGCCUUU
rnacentral:other from 2 species